AACUCUAGGGGAGACUGCCGGUGACAAACCGGAGGAAGGUGGGGAUGACGUCAAGUCAUCAUGGCCCUUACGGCCUGGGCUACACACGUGCUACAAUGGUCGGUACAAAGGGUUGCCAAGCCGCGAGGUGGAGCUAAUCCCAUAAAACCGAUCGUAGUCCGGAUCGCAGUCUGCAACUCGACUGCGUGAAGUCGGAAUCGCUAGUAAUCGUGAAUCAGAAUGUCACGGUCGAAUACGUUCCCGGGCCUU
rnacentral:rRNA from 1 species